AAAUAGCAGCUUGCGGUGGUGAGAUUUCGUAGUUAGGAGGAAGGUUUCGUUUGAGGCGGACGUGGAAUCUAACCCUCUCUGUCACCACCACCACCACCACUACUGUAACGCCACAAGAGGAAGUUGAAGUCAUCGAUCAAUCCUAAGAAACGCAUUGCAACCACCAUCACUAACACCACAAGAACAGUCGAAGUCACCGAUCACCUUCAAAAAUCCUAUUUCCACAACCCACAAUGAAGAUCCUACACUCUACAUCACUCGUCCUCGUCCUGGUCCUCAUCCUCAAAGCCUACGGGAGUGAGGAAGUGCAGAGUAACCUCCCACGUAAUCAUCUUGGAAGCCCAGUCAAGGAACAAGAAACUGAUAGGGCCUUAGCGAAUCCCCCAACAACCCGAGCCACGACCUAUUCAUCCCUUCUCACACUGAACGUCUCCAACACCAUCGUCGUGGCUCUCUUAGCUGCAGCCGGAGCCUUCUACUACGGCGGGGUCCCCUUCUUCAGCAUCAGGAGGUCCCUCACUGGCCUCUGGGACCGCUGGGACUCCGGGUUCUCCGAUGCGUGGCAGUCUGGGCUCACGGGACUUUGGGACUCGGGACUUCGCGAUGCCAUUCAAGCCCUAACGCCCGUGGUCCAAGAGGCUCUCCGAGUGUACAGCGAGAGGCAUUCUUAGCCAGUGUGAGAUACAGUGGCACUCGAUCUACAGAAAUGGCACUACAUGACAGCCCGGGCCAUACCUAUAUGUGGUUCGAAUCUUUAUUGAAGCUACUGAGUACCUUUCAAGCACUUAUCUGAUAUCAUGUGGCAUUGUAACCCUUUUUCGUGUGUCUUAAGAGGAGAAUUCUAAUCCUAUGUAGCUCUCCGUAAUGUUGAUUUACUCGAUAUGAUUGUUAUUUGUGUUGUUAUAUUUGUAGGUUAUUAACGGGCUUUAUCGUUUUAUUGUUUGUUGAGGUAUACGAUUUUGUUAUGUAAGAAUAUAAUGAAUAUAUAGUAAGAUUACAAUAGUAAGUGAAUAUAUUUGUGAAUGAAGCUAAAUUUGCACCUUAUCAACAGUCUCUCUAUAUAAUUUUGUUAAUUAAGGAAUACGAGUUGUUAUUUGAGGGUAGGAUGAAUAAUAACAAUAACAAUAUGUUGAUAGGAGGAUAUUAUUAGUUAGGUGAUUAUUGAUGUGUUAAAUUUGCACCUUAUCUAUCUAUAUCUUUAGGAAUAAGUGUUUUAUUUAGUUAGUUUAGAAUCAUAUGUGGCAUUCCUUUGUCUAAUCUUAUUAUUAGUUAGUGAGAGCACACACACACACACACACACACACACACACACACACACACAUGAUAGCACUGGGAACACGCAUAUGGUGGAAUCUAUUGCCUGAUCAACACUAAGAUAACUACAUACACGCACUACAUAACACUACACAGGGAAUGGUUUCGAAUACUAUCAUAACGAAAUGGUCGGAGAUCUGAAUCCCUUUGAUAUUAUUUAUGUAUGGUACGAUUCCCUUUACUGCAACUACAAAUAAAACGGUUUUCAUUAUUGCUAAA